ensembl:lncRNA
UAAAGAGGCAGUGGACCCUGGAGCCCUUGCCCAGCUCUGGCAUGCCUUUCUUCUUCUUCUCUCUUUCCAGCUUCAUUUCGGUGUCAUUGACCCAUAACACCGGGUAAAUUUAAGGUGAACCCCGUGUCGAUCCCGUGUUGAUUCACCAGAGGAGCCUGAAGGGCCACAGUUCUGGGGUCGCCAAGAGUCGGACAUGACUGCGUGACUUUCGUGUGUUGAUUGGAUAUACUUAUAGAUCUCAAAAUGAUUGCCACCAGAGGCUCAGCUCGCACCUCCAGUGGAGGCCUUUCUUCUGUCUCAUCAUUCUUUCUGGUUGUUGUUUUUCCCUCUUUGGUCGCUUGGAGUGGCAUUCGGGAUCUUAGUUCCCCAGGGAUCAAAUCCAUACCUUCUGUGGUGCAAGUGUGGAGUCUUAGCCACUGGACUGCCAGGCAAGUCCCUUCCCCAUCAUUCUUAGGGAUUCUGGAAGACUCUUCAGCAGAAGGAAGCACCCAGAUUCCGAAGGUCUUGUUUCAGGGACACUGAGAACGUGAAGCCCACCCUGACCUCCUCUGGCUCUUGAGGUGACCUGGACUUCCUCUGUCGAAGAAUGUUGCCUCUUUCACGUGCUAAUCUCCCAUUCCAAGCUGGACCCCCUGACUGGGACCCCAAAGAGGGCUGUAUCUCCAGAGGCCGGCAAGAACCCAGCACAGGGCAGCCAUGGGGGCCAGGUGUUGGGUGAAUGAUAUCACUGAGCACCUGUUGCGUGCCGAACCCUUCACACACGAGUCCGGCGUUUAACAUCUUUCUUCUGGAAUGCUGGCUUUGCCAAGACUAGUGCAUAGCAAGCACUCCAGGAUUACGUGAUGGAAGUGCUGAGAUGAACUGUCACUCAGAGGAAAGAAGACUUCCUGAGGACGGGGCCUUAGCAGACUGAGCUCAUGAGACAGUAAAAAUAAGAAGAAAAUAAUAAUUGUCACUAUUUAUUAUGAUCCGGGAUCAUUAUUUAUUAUCAUUAUUUAUUAUGAUCCCAGAUCGUAAUAAAUGGUUCAUCUUCCCAGGGGGUUAGUACUGCUCUUGUGCCCAUCUCACAGAUGGGGGAACUGAGGCACAGAGAAGUAAAAGUAGAAACCCCAAGUCACACAGUCAGUGAGUGGCAGAGCCAGGAUUAGACCAACGCUGUUUGUCUGAGGAGACUGUCCUGAGCUUAUUACAACACACCUUCCAAAAAGAGAAGUGCUGAUGGCUGUACCCAUUUUGCAGAUGAGGAAGCAGAGGUUCUGAGAAGCGAAAGGGCUGGCCCGUGUCUGGAAGCAGAGAUGGUGGCUCAGCUGGAGACGCCCAAGGGAGCGCCCCAGCCUCCUGGGUUAGUGCUCUAAAGGAGGGGGGAGCUGUCCCCUGCCUGUUCUUGUGUCUGGCCAAUACCCCAGCCUCUGUUUACCCAGCCCAACACCCAAGAGCUGCCUCUUCCGCCUGCCCUGGAGUCUCGGGUGCCUUCACAAUAGGAUGCUCUGUCUGUGCAGCUGGUUUUCAUUCAAGCCC